GUCUUUUUGAAAUAAAUUUAAAGUCUAACCUGCCCACUGAAAAUUUAAAUGGCCGCAGUAUUCUAACUGUGCAAAGGUAGCAUAAUCAUUAGUCUUUUAAUUGAAGGCUGGAAUGAAUGGUUGGACGAAAUAUUAACUGUUUCAUUUGAAUUUUUUAUAGAAUUUUAUUUUUUAGUCAAAAAGCUAAAAUUUAUUUAAAAGACGAGAAGACCCUAUAAAUCUUUAUAUUUUGUUUAUUUUAGUUAUAAAGAUUAUUUUUAUUAUAAUAAGUUAAAAUAUUUUAUUGGGGUGAUAUUAAAAUUUAAAAAACUUUUAAUUUUUAAAACCAUUUAUAUAUGACUAAUUGAUCCAUUAAUAAUGAUUAAAAAUUUAAGUUACUUUAGGGAUAACAGCGUAAUUUUUUUGGAGAGUUCAUAUCGAUAAAAAAGAUUGCGACCUCGAUGUUGGAUUAAGAUAUAAUUUUGGGUGUAGCCGUUCAAAUUUUAAGUCUGUUCGACUUUUAAAUUCUU
rnacentral:rRNA from 1 species